AGGAGUUUAUCUCGACUGAGUAGCUUCCCCGCCACUCCUCUAAAAUCCCUCCUCAAAAACCCCAAGUUAAAAAAAAAAAAGAUCUAUUCUUGUAGAUUUUUUUUGUGUGGGUCUAUGUUUCAUUCAUCUGCUUUCAGGCUGGAUUUAUAACAAGCAGAACUUUUAAAACGGUAUGAUUUUAAAAUAAAAUUAAAAAAAAAACACGCUGAGAUCUUUCCAUAGCUUUGGCUUCUGGGAGUUGAAAGCGCAGGAGGAAAAUAGAGCAAAAAGGUAGAACUUACUUCCACACCCAAGUUUCUCCUGAAAGCACUGUGCCUGUUUUGUUUGCUACACAUCUUGGGUAUGUAUGUUUGCAUCUAUGCAUGCAGGCAUGCAUGAGUUAUUUAUGUGUGUUAUUUGGUCCAGCCUUGAAGCUCCUUUUAUUUUUCAGUGAAUUGAAAGAAGGUAACCUUUGGAUGUAUAUAUUUUAGUGCUCCAGCAGAUUACCAGUGAAACAUGCCGACUCUCACCAAACCACCCCAUGUUGCCAAAUCUUCUCUCUUGGCC
rnacentral:lncRNA from 10 species